rnacentral:misc_RNA from 1 species
CAACACUCAAGCCUAGCUUGGUAUUGAGCCACGUCCGCAAGGGCUGGCUUUAAAAUCAGUGGCGGCGCCAUCUAGCUCUCAGCGUAGUAAUACUCCUCGCUGUUGGGUCCUGGUGGAUGCUGGCCAGCAACCCCCAACUUUCUAA